GAUAUUUUUUUAUUCAUUAGAUUUUAUACAACAAAAAAGUUUUCUAUAGUAAACGUUAAAGAUGUUAAAAGUUUUAAUGAUAAUUUCGAGGAAAAAUUUUUCCUUGUGAAAGCUGGUGAUGGAAAAUUUCAUCGUGCCCAAAUUUUUUUUAAAAGCAAUUCAAAAAUGGAGGUCGAAAAGAUGUCAGCAUCUAAACGACGACUUAAAUUCAUCCAAUCAAAAGAUGACAGUGCGGUUAUGAAUGACACAGAAAAUAUUCGUGACACUGUAACAAAGAAUAAGAAUGCUAUCGAAACUUCGUUAACAAAAAUAAAAUCGACGAUAAAGAAAAAAAUAUAAUCAUUAAUAAAUGUGGAACAUUUAUAGGAGACGAAAUAAAGUACGUAAGAACAAAAUUAUUGAAAUCUGAAAAGAAGGAAGAGGUUACCGACAAUCAGUAAUCAGAUAAAAGGGCGAGGAAACUUUUGGGAGAAAAAAAUGUAAAUUUUUAAAUAAAAGAAAUGUUUAUAUGUAAAUAAAAUUUACAUGAAAACAAAAAAAA